rnacentral:rRNA from 1 species
AGCGAACGCUGGCGGCAGGCCUAACACAUGCAAGUCGAACGGACCCUUCGGGGUUAGUGGCGGACGGGUGAGUAACACGUGGGAACGUGCCUUUUGGUUCGGAAUAGCUCCUGGAAACGGGUGGUAAUGCCGAAUGUGCCCUUUGGGGGAAAGAUUUAUCGCCAUUAGAGCGGCCCGCGUCUGAUUAGCUAGUUGGUGAGGGAAAGGCUCACCAAGGCGACGAUCAGUAGUUGGUCUGAGAGGAUGACCAGCAACAUUGGUACUGAGACACGGCGCAAUCUCCUACGGGAGGCAGCAGUCGGGAGUCUUGCGCAAUGAGCGAAAGCCUGACGCAGCCAUGCCGCGUGAAUGAAGAAGGUCUUAGGAUUGUAAAAUUCUUGCAACGGGGAAGAUAAUGACGGUACCCGGAGAAGAAGCCCCGGCUAACUUCGUGCCAGCAGCCGCGGUAAAAC